rnacentral:rRNA from 1 species
UACGUAGGGUGCAAGCGUUGUUCGGAUUUACUGGGCGUAAAGGGCGCGUAGGCGGCCAGCACAAGUCGGUUGUGAAAUCUCCGAGCUUAACUCGGAAAGGUCAACCGAUACUGUGCGGCUAGAGUGCGGAAGGGGCAACUGGAAUUCUCGGUGUAGCGGUGAAAUGCGUAGAGAUCGGGAGGAACACCAGUGGCGAAGGCGGCCGUCUGGACCAGCACUGACACUGAGGAGCGAAAGCCAGGGGAGCAAACGGG